rnacentral:lncRNA from 1 species
UGGGAUUCCAGGGAUUCUUGAGCUAUGGGACACUCCUGGAUUUCAGGAACCUCUGGCCUCAAGGGGGCUCUGCGUCCAUCAGGGGCAAAGCCACGGCUGAAGCCAUCAGGGCCCCGGGGCAGCCGGAGCACAGGCACGGGAAUGUUCACUGGAGUUUGCAUUGUCUUGGCUGUUGAGUGAAGAAAAAGAGCAGGAAGUCAUUACAUGGCUCUUCCUGUCUCUGCACCUGAACUGUGAGCCCCUUGCAAGACAGGACCCUGCAGAUAGACCAAGGAUGUGAACCAGGGCUACUCAGUCUGGACACUAUUGACAUUUGGGGCUGGAUAAUUAUCUGCUAUGUUGUGGGGGCUGUCCAACGCAUAGGUGUAGGGUUUGAGCAGCAUCCUAGCCUCUGCCUCCUAUUAAUAGAUGCCAGUAGCAUCCCAUCUUCAAGUUGUGACAGCCAAAAAUGUCACCACUGGUGAACAGUGAAUUGGUGAAUGUGAAUUGCAUCUCAAUACAGUUUUUUUUUAAAGUCUC